rnacentral:rRNA from 1 species
AACGAACGCUGGCGGCAGGCCUAACACAUGCAAGUCGAGCGCCCCGCAAGGGGAGCGGCGGCCGGGUGAGUAACGCGUGGGAAUAUGCCCUUUGCUACGGAAUAGUCUCGGGAAACUGGGGGUAAUACCGUAUACGCCCUUUGGGGGAAAGAUUUAUCGGCGAAGGAUUAGCCCGCGUUGGAUUAGGUAGUUGGUGGGGUAAUGGCCUACCAAGCCGACGAUCCAUAGCCGGUUUGAGAGGAUGAUCAGCCACACUGGGACUGAGACACGGCCCAGACUCCUACGGGAGGCAGCAGUGGGGAAUCUUAGACAAUGGGGGCAACCCUGAUCUAGCCAUGCCGCGUGAGUGAUGAAGGCCUUAGGGUUGUAAAGCUCUUUCAGCUGGGAAGAUAAUGACGGUACCAGCAGAAGAAGCCCCGGCUAACUCCGUG